rnacentral:rRNA from 1 species
GACGAACGCUGGCGGCGUGCUUAACACAUGCAAGUCGAACGGUGAUGCCCAGCUUGCUGGGUUGAUCAGUGGCGAACGGGUGAGUAACACGUGAGCAACCUGCCCCUGACUUCGGGAUAACUUCGGGAAAUCGAGGCUAAUACCGGAUAUGACUCGUACAGGCAUCUGUAGCGGGUGGAAAGAUUUUUUGGUCAGGGAUGGGCUCGCGGCCUAUCAGCUUGUUGGUGGGGUGAUGGCCUACCAAGGCGACGACGGGUAGCCGGCCUGAGAGGGCGACCGGCCACACUGGGACUGAGACACGGCCCAGACUCCUACGGGAGGCAGCAGUGGGGAAUAUUGCACAAUGGGCGAAAGCCUGAUGCAGCGACGCCGCGUGAGGGAUGAAGGCCUUCGGGUUGUAAACCUCUUUCAGCAGGGAAGAAGCGAAAGUGACGGUACCUGCAGAAGAAGCGCCGGCUAACUACGUGCCAGCAGCCGCAGUAAAAC